rnacentral:lncRNA from 1 species
CCACCUGCUCUGAAUAUCUGAACUUCUUGUUCUUUCUCUCCCCCAUCUUAGCCUAAUUCCUUAUCCUACCAACAAGACCAGACUGGCAUAAUAGAGAUACUACUAUCUGGGUCAGCAUAUGAAUAAAAUGAUGGAACUCAGUAUUGGACACUUUACCCUAAGGUGUUCGGGGAGGACUAGGGGGAACUAGUGGAACUUCACUAGGGAAAUCAAAAGCAAAGACCCCAGACUAGGUCUGCACCCCAGGG